rnacentral:rRNA from 1 species
CCUACGGGAGGCAGCAGUGAGGAAUAUUGGUCAAUGGGCGAGAGCCUGAACCAGCCAAGUCGCGUGAAGGAUGACGGCCCUACGGGUUGUAAACUUCUGUUGUCAGGGAGCAAGUGGGUCCACGCGUGGGCUUAGGGAGAGCACCUGAAGAAAAAGCAUCGGCGAACUCCGUGCCAGCAGCCGCGGUAAUACGGAGGAGGCGAGCGUUAUCCGGAGUUAUUGGGUGGACGGGGGGCGUAGGCGGAAUAUCAAGUCAGCGGUAACACUUCGGGGCUCAACCCCGUCGUGCCGUUGAAACUGCUGUUCUUGAGUGGGCGAGAAGUAUGCGGAAUGCGUGGUGUAGCGGUGAAAUGCAUAGAUAUCACGCAGAACUCCGAUUGCGAAGGCAGCAUACCGGCGCCCACCUGACGCUGACGCACGACAGCGUGGGUAUCGAACAGGAUUAGAUACCCCGGUAGUC